UCCUAACAGCUAGCCCCCCUCCCCAACAACAACAAAUCACUAUUAAUAAACCCUAAUACACUAAACAUCAUAAAAUAAACCAUUCUUCCAUCCUAGUAUGGGCGACAGAAAAGAAACACAGCGCUAUAGAAAAAGUACCGCAAGGGAAUGCUGAAAGAGAAAUGAAACAAAUCAGUAAAGACUUAGAAAGCAGAGCUCCCCCCUCGUACUU
rnacentral:rRNA from 1 species